GCCAGAGCCAUAUCUCCUUGCAGUUCUCACCUGGUUUUCCACUGAAGUUAAGCAGGGUUGAGCUUGGCCAGUACCUGGAUGGCAGACCACCUGGGGAAAACUAAGGUUACUGCUGGAA
rnacentral:rRNA from 1 species